AACGAACGCUGGCGGCGCGUCUUACCCAUGCAAGUCGAGCGGCAGGCAGCAAUGCCGAGAGCGGCGGACUGGUGAGUAACACGUGGAUAACGUACCCCGAUGUCCGGGACAGCCUGUAGAAAUAGAGGGUAAUACCGGAUAGAUCACUGUUUACGUGAGGUAGACAGCGGGAAAGGAGCUUCGGCUCCGCGACGGGAUCGGUCUGCGGCCCAUCAGCUGGACGGCGGGGUAAAGGCCCGCCGUGGCGAGGACGGGUAUCCGGCCUGAGAGGGCGGACGGACACAUUGGGACUGAGAUACGGCCCAGACUCCUACGGGAGGCAGCAGGUAAGAAUAUUCCGCAAUGGGGGGAACCCUGACGGAGCGACGCCGCGUGAACGAAGAAGGCCGGAAGGUUGUAAAGUUCUUUUCUGUCCGAGGAAUAAGUUUCGGAGGAAAUGCCGGGACGGUGACGGUAGGGCAGGAAUAAGCACCGGCUAAUUACGUG
rnacentral:rRNA from 1 species